GUGUGUUAAGACAAGAUAGAAUGUUAGCAACCCCCAAGAUAAGGAUGCAAGUGGUCCUAGUGGCCUUUUCAACACAAUGGUUUCAAGGAAGUGGUUUCAACAUAAUAGCUUAAAGGCAAUGGCUUCA